rnacentral:misc_RNA from 1 species
AGAAGAAGGAGGAGGAGGAGGAGAAGAAUUACUUGGUCGGCGCAUGUGGCUGGAUCAUCAGACGAUGGUGCAGGUGGCUGGAGACAGCGGCGCAGGUACUGAAGAUAAAGCCCAGUGGACAUUAGACUAAGAUUUUGGAGCCCAGAUCUGCAAAGUAUCCAAGGUUGUCCCCUUCUCAGCAAUGCAUGCAAAUCGAGCCUAUAUAGGUCAUAUCAUGUAUUUUGCAUAUUAUAAUUAGUUAUUAUGUUCAAAUGUAAAUUAUGGAAGCGUAAUUAAUAUGUAUGUGACGUAAAUUAAUAAAUUAUCUCUUUUAUAUAAUUAAUUUAUAUAUCAUGUAAACUAUGAAUU